AGUGAACGCUGGCGGUAGGCCUAACACAUGCAAGUCGAACGGCAGCACAGGAGAGCUUGCUCUCUGGGUGGCGAGUGGCGGACGGGUGAGGAAUACAUCGGAAUCUACUUUUUCGUGGGGGAUAACGUAGGGAAACUUACGCUAAUACCGCAUACGACCUACGGGUGAAAGCAGGGGAUCUUCGGACCUUGCGCGAUUGAAUGAGCCGAUGUCGGAUUAGCUAGUUGGCGGGGUAAAGGCCCACCAAGGCGACGAUCCGUAGCUGGUCUGAGAGGAUGAGCAGCCAAACUGGAACAGGGAAACGGUCCAGACUCCUACGGGAGGCAGCAGUGGGGAAUAUUGGACAAUGGGCGCAAGCCUGAUCCAGCCAUACCGCGUGGGUGAAGAAGGCCUUCGGGUUGUAAAGCCCUUUUGUUGGGAAAGAAAUCCAGCUGGUUAAUACCCGGUUGGGAUGACGGUACCCAAAGAAUAAGCACCGGCUAACUUCGUGCCAGCCGCCGCGGUAA
rnacentral:rRNA from 1 species